UUUAGUUAACUUUUAUAAACCAAGAUAGUAAAAGCUAUGUUCUCCAAACCUAAAGGAUUUGGCGGUAAUUUAGUCCAGUUAGAGGAACCUGUUUGGUAAACGAUAAACCACGAAAAAUCUUACCUACUUUCAAAGUUUGUAUACCGUCAUUAAUAGAUAACUUUUAAUGAAAAAGUUAUUUCGAUAAAUUUAUUCUUAAUAUAUUAGAUCAAGGUGCAGCCUAUAAAUAGGUCUUAAUGGGUUACAAUAAAACUUAUUUACAACGAAUAUAGAAUAUAAAUAUUCUAUUUGAAGGAGGAUUUAAUAGUAAAACUAAGUUUAAUAUGCUAUUUUGAUAAAGGAUCUAAAUUGAGUACAUAUCGCCCGUCGCUUUCAUUUACACAGAUGAAAUAAGUCGUAACAUAG
rnacentral:rRNA from 1 species